AUUGAACGCUGGCGGCAGGCUUAACACAUGCAAGUCGAGCGGAGUGAUGGUGCUUGCACUAUCACUUAGCGGCGGACGGGUGAGUAAUGCUUAGGAAUCUGCCUAUUAGUGGGGGACAACAUCUCGAAAGGGAUGCUAAUACCGCAUACGUCCUACGGGAGAAAGCAGGGGAUCACUUGUGACCUUGCGCUAAUAGAUGAGCCUAAGUCGGAUUAGCUAGUUGGUGGGGUAAAGGCCUACCAAGGCGACGAUCUGUAGCGGGUCUGAGAGGAUAAUCCGCCACACUGGGACUGAGACACGGCCCAGACUCCUACGGGAGGCAGCAGUGGGGAAUAUUGGACAAUGGGGGGAACCCUGAUCCAGCCAUGCCGCGUGUGUGAUGAAGGUCUUCGGAUCGUAAAGCUCUGUCGGUAGGAACGAUGGAGUCACUAAAUAACAAGUAGUGGCUUUGACGGUACCUGCAAAGGAAGCACCGGCUAACUCUGUGCCAGCCGCCGCGGUAACAC
rnacentral:rRNA from 1 species